rnacentral:rRNA from 1 species
GACGAACGCUGGCGGCGUGCCUAAUACAUGCAAGUCGAACGCAGUGGGGACGGGUGAGUAACACGUGGGUAACCUCCCAUCAGAGGGGAUAACACUUGGAAACAGGUGCUAAACCGAUACUGUUUUAUGUACCCUCUGUGCAUUAGCUAGUUGGUGAGGUAACGGCUCACCAAGGCCACGAGGCAUAGCCGACCUGAGAGGGGGAUCGGCCACACUGGGACUGAGACACGGGCAAGACUCAUACGGGAGGCAGCAGUAGGGAAGCGUCGGAAAUGGACGAAAGUCUGACCGAGCAACGCCGCGUGAGUGAAGAAGGUUUUCGGAUCGUAAACCUCUGUUGUUAGAGAAGCGGUAGAUAAAGAGAAAGCCACGGCUAACUACGUGCCAGCAGCCGCGGUAAUAG